rnacentral:rRNA from 1 species
CAGCAGCCGCGGGAAUACGUAGGGUGCGAGCGUUAAUCGGAAUUACUGGGCGCAAAGCGUGCGCAGGCGGUUAUAUAAGACAGAUGUGAAAUCCCCGGGCUCAACCUGGGACCUGCAUUUGUGACUGUAUAGCUAGAGUACGGUAGAGGGGGAUGGAAUUCCGCGUGUAGCAGUGAAAUGCGUAGAUAUGCGGAGGAACACCGAUGGCGAAGGCAAUCCCCUGGACCUGUACUGACGCUCAUGCACGAAAGCGUGGGGAGCAAACAGGAUUAGAUACCCCAGUAGUCCCUGUCUCUUAUAC